rnacentral:rRNA from 1 species
GACGAACGCUGGCGGCGUGCCUAAUACAUGCAAGUCGAACGCAGUGGGGACGGGUGAGUAACACGUGGGUAACCUCCCAUCAGAGGGGAUAACACUUGGAAACAGGUGCUAAACCGAUACUGAUGGAUGAACCCGCGGUGCAUUAGCUGGUUGGUGAGGUAACGGCUCACCAAGGCCACGAUCCAUAGCCUACCGGGGGGGGGGAUCGGCCAAACUGGGACGGGGAACCGGCCCAGACUCCUACGGGAGGCAGCAUUAGGGAAUCUUCGGCAAUGGGCGAAAGUCUGACCGAGCAACGCCGCGUGAGUGAAGAAGGUUUUCGGAUCGUAAUACUCUGUUGUUAGAGAAGCGGUAUCUAACCAGAAAGCCACGGCUAACUACGUGCCAGCAGCCGCGGUAAUUC